AAGCGUGCGCAGGCGGUUUUGUAAGUCAGAUGUGAAAUCCCCGAGCUCAACUUGGGAACUGCGUUUGAAACUACAAGGCUAGAGUAUGGUAGAGGGGGGUAGAAUUCCACGUGUAGCAGUGAAAUGCGUAGAGAUGUGGAGGAAUACCAAUGGCGAAGGCACGCCCCCUGGACUAAUACUGACGCUCAUGCACGAAAGCGUGGGGAGCAAACAGGAUUAGAUACCCUAGU
rnacentral:rRNA from 1 species